rnacentral:rRNA from 1 species
GACAGAGGGUGCAACCGUUGUUCGGAAUUACUGGGCGUAAAGCGCGUGUAGGCGGCAGGGUGUGUCGGAUGUGAAAUCCCGUGGCUCAACCACGGAAGUGCACCCGAAACUACCCAGCUCGAGUCUCGGAGAGGAAGGUGGAAUGCUUGGUGUAGAGGUGAAAUUCGUAGAUAUCGAGAGGAACACCGGUGGCGAAGGCGGCCAACUGGACGAACACUGACGCUGAGACUCGAAAGCGUGGGGAGCAAACAGG